ACCUCGAUGGGGCACACUAGG
rnacentral:piRNA from 1 species